GCUGGGGGAUCCGGCGGUGGAGGACGGCUGGGGGAUCCGGCGGUGGAGGUCCGAAGGCGGCUCGUGAUUAGACCAACCAGCUCCUCGUCCAUGGAAGGAUUGAAGAGUCACUGGGGAUGAAGAUCACUGCUCAGGGGCUGACAACCACUCAUCUUUCCGGAGAAGCGUCCUCAUGGUGCAGGCGGUCAAACCUCCACCUCUUUGAAGAGACCAAGCAGCUUGAUGACUGACUGGUUCUUUAUACUCAAGACCUCGUCCCGGAGCAGAGGACGGACCUAAGGCCCGCAGCGCAGCCGACUAGAGACUCCAUGUGGAACCGGUUCAAUUAAGUUGACCCCUCCUUCAGGCGACUUAAAGGGAGACCAUAUGUGCGGCAGCUGGGUGUCAUGGUGCAGAGACCCAACGCUGUACUGAACUACACCAGUGUGUCCUACUCCCAUAAACCCUGAGGAUCCCUGGAUGGCUACACCAGCACAUUAAUCCACACCCAACAUCAACACACAGUGCACACUCUAUAGAGCUCGUAAGUCCGCUCCUUGCGGCGGGACCUCGUGAGAUCGUAAGUUAUGACUGGGUUUCAAUGGAGAGAAAGUAAUUAUUUUCUCUUCUAUGUUGCACCACAUUUUGGGGGAAGAAUGUUUGAAUCAAUCUGUCAUUUAUUUCUGUACUCCACAUCUGUACUCCCAGCUGUUGUAUUUUAACACGGUAGCUGGGAACCCUCUUUAUAGGGAGCGGCUAGAUGGACGAGGCUGGAAGCAAACCUGAGCCUGGAUCUUAACCUUCUUUCUAAACCUAAUGCCGCAAUUUAACCGCAAAUAAAGUGAGGCCUAAAGUAACUUGACUCUCUUACCUAAACUUGCUUGUCUAAACUCGCCUGCAUAAAACCUAAACUCGCUUGCAUAAAACCUGAACUUGCUUGGCUAAACUUGCGUCGCUUGCCUAAUACCUGAACUUGCUCGCCUAAACUCGCUUGCCUAAUACCUGAACUCGCUUGCCUAAAACCUGAACUCGCUUGCAUAAAACCUGAACUUACUUGGCUAAACUCGCGUCGCUUGCCUAAUACCCGAACUUGCUCGCCUAAACUCGCUUGCCUAAUACCUGAACUCGCUUGCCUAAAACCUGAACUCGCUUGCAUAAAACCUAACUCGCUUAGCUUGACUCGCUUGCCUGUACUCGCUUGGCUAAACUCGCUUGCAUAAAACCUAACUCGCUUAGCUUGACUCGCUUGCCUGUACUCGCUUGGCUAAACUCGCUUGCAUAAAACCUAAACUCGCUUGCAUAAAAACUAAACUCGCUUAGCUUGACUCUUUUGCCUGUACUCGCUUGGCUAAACUCGCUUGCCUAAUACCUGAAGUCGCUUGCCUAAAACCUAAACUUGCUUGUCCAAACACGUUACACAAAGUUAACCAUCCAUAAUCUUUAACCCAAACCAGACUUGUCCCUGGGUCGCUCCACUUUAAUUUAGAAGUUUCUUCUUUUACCUCAUCAGCUUUUUGAGUUUCAUUCUUUGAGGGCUCUUUACCCAUUUUGUUUUGGAUUGCAUUUCUAUGUGUAAUCCGGCCAAAUGUUCAGUGUCCUACCAUGUAAUGUCUAUGGUCUGACGAUAAUCUGACCUCUUCAUGAAGCAGAAUGUGUGUUAAUGUUGUCCCGUGAGCUCCAGGCUCUCUGUGGGCCUGUCAACGUCUCUUUAGCAAAAGGUUGGGGAGUGAAAUUCAUUUUUGUGCCAUUUUCAUGUGUUCCUGAGUAUUUCAGGCCUGUGGAGUUUCACAUGAGACCUUAAUUGGAACCUUUCUUUUUCUGCCUUUAUACGUAAUGCCUACAUUAGUAGGGUGAUCACUGUUGAUCCCAAUAUUGAUCAUUAACCACCUCAUUCUUUGGGAUUACAAAUCAUGUAAUUUAUGAGCAUAUUUGCGAAUGCCUCCAAAUAUCAGAUUGUGUAAAAACGAAUGAAAUGUAACCUGCUUGAUUUAAAGAAAAUAAAACAUCCAAAUAUUAUAAACCUG